rfam:Alteromonas sp. RW2A1 genome.
UGUUUCCUGGGAUGUUUGCAAGUUCAUUCAUGUCCCUGGCCGAUGCUUUAAACCUAGGAAGUUGAAACCGUGACUAUUGUGCAAGCUCGGCUCGUAUCGAGACGCCUACGGUCACAGUGAUUCUUCCGCCCUGAACUUUUCGGUUCACGGGCGAAAAUGGACACGCGGCAUUCUGGGAGACGC